CAUCACUGUUUUCUCAUGAUCUGACAGAUUUUCUCUGCCAGCAUGAAUAAGUUCUUGUGUCCAUUUCCGUAAAGUGUUAAUCUACAGAUCAUGGUUGUCUGGGGGACAAUGAGGUCACUUUAGGGCUGACGUUAUCCAGGUCACUUUGCAGGAAGCUUUGUGAGGAAAUGCAAAUCUCUAAGUUCUGGGGGCGGGGGCUGAAAAGUUGAGCUGAGAGAGAAAAGGCCUCUCUACACUCCUCUAAAAAACUCUUCCUCUCUACAUUCAUGAUGCAGCUGUGUGGAGCUCUGGUUCUGUUUGCGACUCUAUCCACAGGUAAGAGCUGAGCAUGUGGUCUGAGAUGCUACACCUGCACAGCCAGCGAGCCUAAAUCCUGCACAGACACCAAAUCUUGUUCCGUCAUCUUCAACCGCUGUUUCUCUCUCAAAGUAGAAGGAUACAACAUCGUUACCAAGGGCUGUCAAACCAGU